UAAUUGUAGUAAUUAGUAGUCACUUUGUGC
rnacentral:piRNA from 1 species